rnacentral:rRNA from 1 species
UACGUAGGGUGCGAGCGUUGUCCGGAAUUACUGGGCGUAAAGAGCUCGUAGGCGGUCUGUCGCGUCGGCUGUGAAAACCCGGGGCUCAACCCCGGGCCUGCAGUCGAUACGGGCAGACUAGAGUGUGGUAGGGGAGACUGGAAUUCCUGGUGUAGCGGUGGAAUGCGCAGAUAUCAGGAGGAACACCGGUGGCGAAGGCGGGUCUCUGGGCCAUAACUGACGCUGAGGAGCGAAAGCGUGGGGAGCGAACAGG